CCCGCUUUGCGGCGUAUUCGGUGUGAUACAUCUUCACCGGAGUUGAUCCUUUUUGGGUCGCGUCCGUAUGAGUGUGGCUCUAUGCUUCCAACCGUCUUUUUAUGAGACAAAUCUCUGACAAUUUGACCUCAAAUCGGGUGGGACUACCCGCUGAACUUAAGCAUAUCAAUAAGCGGAGGAAAAGAAACUAACAAGGAUUCCCCUAGUAACGGCGAGUGAAGAGGGAAAAGCUCAAAUUUUGAAUCUGGUGUCUUUGACUCCCGAGUUGUAAUCUAGAGAAGUGUUUUCCGCGUCGGACCGUGCACAAGUUCCCUGGAACGGGGCGUCAUAGAGGGUGAGAAUCCCGUAUAUGGCACGGACCGCCGAUGCUCUGUGAUACACUCUCAACGAGUCGAGUUGUUUGGGAAUGCAGCUCAAAAUGGGUGGUAAAUUCCAUCUAAAGCUAAAUAUUGGCGAGAGACCGAUAGCGAACAAGUACCGUGAGGGAAAGAUGAAAAGCACUUUGGAAAGAGAGUGAAACAGUACGUGAAAUUGUUGAAAGGGAAGCGUUUGAAGUCAGUCGUAUCUGGCGGGAUUCAGCCUGGCUUUUGCCUGGUGUACUUCCCGUCCGAUGGGUCAGCAUCAAUUUC
rnacentral:rRNA from 1 species